UAAUACAGAGGUCCCAAGCGUUGUUCGGAUUCACUGGGCGUAACGAGUGCGUAGGUGGCCUAUUAAGUUUGAUGUGAAAUCUCCGAGCUCAACUCGGAAACUGCAUUGGAUACUGGUAAGCUAGAGGGUCGGAGGGGAGACUGGAAUUCUUGGUGUAGCAGUGAAAUGCGUAGAUAUCAAGAGGAACACCAAUGGCGAAGGCAAGUCUCUGGACGACCCCUGACACUGAGGCACGAAAGCUAGGGGAGCAAACAGGAUUAGAUACCCUGGUAGUCCUAGCCGUAAACGGUGCACACUUGCUAUAAGAGGAAUCGACCCCUUUUGUGGCGAAGCUAACGCGUUAAGUGUGCCGCCUGGGAAGUACGGUCGCAAGAUUA
rnacentral:rRNA from 1 species